GGCCCGUAUACACCAUGUGUAAAGAAUUUGGCUGGUCGUAUACAAUGGAUACGAACAAUGUAUACGGGCCGUAUAACUGUAUACGGCCCGUAUGAAAAGAAAAUUAGAUUUUACCCAAAGUAUUUAAUGGAUUUAAGGUGUCAAUCACACGAGACAUUUUACAGUCGUUAGGUGGUCAAAUCUUUCUAAAAGUAGAAAAAAAUAAAACUUUAACAAGUAACAAAGAUUGAAAAACAAAAAACCGUGUCGUAUGACUGUAAUAAAAAGGAAGGGCGAGGCAUUUGAUGAGAGUUGUAAGGAGAAGCGUUUUAAUCACUUGUUUUCAACGGGGAUGUAAUGCAAUGAUUCUGCUAGUGGCCGGGCUUCCAAUGCUUACACAGGGUGAUAAACAACGCCGAUAUGAACCCAAACCAACUGCUUUGUCUUGAGUCGUCGGGAAAACUUUUCCUCAGGGGAGGGUGAGUAGUAUUAGUCUGAGUCCAUUGUGGUUCGUGAAUGUUUCGAAUCAUCAUAGAAGACGUACGUGUCGGGUUCUUCUGCUAGUAGUAUGAGUCUGAGUCCAUUGUGGUUCGUGAAUGUUUCG
rnacentral:lncRNA from 1 species